AGGCAGGGUUGAGGAAUAUCGAGGAAGAGGCAGCUCCAGAGCUUCACAGGGCCAUCUCCGGAGACCUUGUGCCUGAAGAAGAGAUGGAGCGAGCUAUUGAAGAAGCUGCUGUGGAGGGCGUCUUCAGGAGACAAGGUAGUCUCUUUGGAAACCACUCAGACCCGUUUUCUGUGGAAAGUGAGAUGGCCAAUGCCAACCAAGCCACGAACCAGCGCCCUCUGCAAAUGGCAGAAGGAGUCAUCAACAACAACAUAAAUAUCACCAACAGCAGCACAAGUCACAGUCUUUAUUAACAGUAGUUUGGAAGAAUUGGCCUCUGACUACUGAUGUCUGCCCGAGUAUUUCAGUGCCAUGACCUUUGACUUUGGCAAAAUGGAGAUGGCAGGAGCUUCUCAACAGAUGCAGAGAAGGACUGAUGAAAGGGACUGCCAAGGCUGCCAACCCUACCAUCCAAACCUGAAAACAGUGUUAAACGUGUCAAAUGCUUUAAUGCUGACCAUUAACCAUAAUAGUGAGUUCUAAGACAUGUAAUACCAGGAAAUGCUACCUGUUACAGAAAGACUUUCCUUGAUUUUAUUUCUUAUAGAGACACUGAUCUGGUGUGAACUGUUUGUGCUGUCUUCGCAGAAUUUCUAAAUAAUUUUUUAAAAAUCUGUCCCAUAUUUUUCUUACCCUUAUUUUGCUACGACUAUAAAAACAGGAGGGUUGAUUUAAGGAUAUAGUAUUUUUAAAAAAAAGCCACAUAAUGAAAGAAUGCAAUUUUUUAUAUAGGCAUUUAAGUAAAUUCCCACUGCAGUGUAACAAAAGAUGAGGGGGAAACAAGCCUUUUUUGAUUAAAUAUAAGUAUAUUACUUUGACUGUCUUUUCUGUCAGGUUGCUAACUUUGUUACAAAACUAUCCAUAAUUUGACAUGGCCUUUUUAUCCAUUGGCUCUUUAACCUGCUGAACUCUUAUCACAAUUGAAGCAUGUCACAAAUGCUUUUUGUUUUUGCUCAAGUUUACUGUGUUACACGGACCUACAUGUAUUACUUAGACAAUCUCCCUUUCAUAUCGAAAUAUUGAUUAAUUCAGAUUUUAGUAUAUCGCUGCAUGCUUUAAAAGGAAAAGCAAUUAACUUUGUUUAAGACAUGAAGCUUUUCUGUAGUUGUCAACCUCACGUUGUGUGG